UUACUCUCUGUACUAAAAGCUCCUGUCGCUUUUUUUCCUACUUAAAUCAACGGGAUUCACACGUCAAAUUAGCGUUAAGUGGAUUAUGGAAAUUGACCUUUCCAAAGCAAAGCACGCUUGGUUAAUAGACCAAGAAGGAGCGAGGAGAAGUUACAUUACGCGGCAGAGAUGUGGCGGAGACCUACAUGCCGGGUUCGUGAUGUUUUCAUGGGCGUGCUGAUUGGCUUGGGUGUAGCGGGACUUUUGGUUAAGUGGCAUAUCGACAAUGAUCACGACAAAAAAAUGUUGGUGAAGAGAUUCAACGAUGAUUUCCCAGAGCAAGAAGAUAAAGAUGAUUCUGAUACACAAGAAAGUGACCGAAGCGUCAUUUCUUCAGGAAAAGAUUUCCCGGAUCCUUCUUUUGUAUCUGAUAGACCAGCUGAUUCUUUUACAAGGGAAAAUGAACAACGCGCUUUUACUGAUAAAGCUGUACUUAAUGAAGACGUCAUUCCUUCAGGCGAAGAUUUGCUGGAACCUACUUUUGUAUUUAAUAAACCAGCUGAUACUUUUACCAAUGAAAAUAAACAAAGCACUUUAACUGAUAAAGCUGUUUUUAACGAAGACGUCAUUUCUUCAGGCGAGCCAAACUCACAGAGCAGUUUAUAUAAAGCUUAUAGUCACGUGCGAACCAUCUUGUUUUUCAUUGGCUACGAGCGUAGCCGUCACAGCCUUCUUGGUGCUUUACUGGAUGCUCAUCCACACAUGGUCGUAUCUGACGAGUCAAUGGCUUUUGGCAAGUGGAGAUCAAAUCAAAACAAAUGGAUGAACAGUUCCAUAUACUCAUUUUACGACAUAAUGGUCCAAACAUCGCAGCGUGACGUCACUAAAGGAAAAAGGUCUCAAGUAUUUGAAGGAAGUGUGGUGAACGCGACUUCUAGAUUUAAAUAUUUCGUUCCCAACCAAUGGCAAGGAAGCUUUGAUCGGUACAUUGAGGUGAGCAGAAACUGGUGCGUUACGCUUGCUAUAAUAAAAGGAUUCGGUGGGGUAUCUCAAGCAUCAGGCGCUAUGUAUGCUCCGGGAAUAUAGUGUUUCAGUUUCACUUUAUUAUUUUGCUACACAAAUAUUUUUACAAAUAUGUUCAGGGGAGUCUUUGUUUACAACAUUUACUUCAUCAACAAUGCGAUUCAAUUUCUGAUCAAGCUGGAAAACUAUCAGUUCUAAAUAUUGAAAGGGCAUACCACAGAUAACUGCCCCAAGGAAAUUUAGACCGAUGUAUUUAAUACUUUUUGUGCGACGCAUGUUUAAAAACUCAUCAGUGCUUUCGCCACCCAGAAAUUUCACAGCAUUCAAAAGCUAAUUUCCCCUUGAACAUUACACCCAGAAAGCCAAAAAUGUUACCCUUUACUAAGAUUCACAAGCUCUUCAAAUGUUUGAUGUCAACUAGUACUCAGCAUGCAUGAUGCCUUCUCUGCCCAAUGUCGUAUGAUAAAAAGGAAAAAUGUAGAAAGCGAUUUUUCUAAAAGCACCUUUUUUUUUUGUACUAAAAAGACAAUGUGAUCCUUGCGAAAUGAAAAGUUGCCGUAACUCAAACAAAGGAGGAACGUUAUAAGUAAUUUUCCUCUUCAAAGCGUUGGAGGCAUAUCUAAUUUGCUUCUUUGGGUUGUUUUGAUUAGACACUUCACAAUCAACUUUCUACUUCAUGUUGUGACAUAUAAGGCCUCUACAUUCUGCCGCCAACCAGCUCUGUGGGCUGCUGCAAAGCAUACGUCGUCCUAGGUCCUCCAUCCAGUUCGUUCCCCUUCCUUCUCCGCUGUCUUCCUCCAUGUUUUCUUGGGUCUACCCCUUCUUUCGGCCUCUUCUGGCGUCCAUGGUUUGAUCGAGCAGAUAAAUUUAAACCGCGUCUCAUUUUACGCCUUGCAAUCAUUACAAAAACUACUCUAUCCCAAGGUAAUGCUAAGCUGGCAGUUGUGUUCUCCACUUAAAUUUACAUAAAUAUGACAUUUUUUAAAAACAGUUCCCUGGUUCUCUAUGUUCUCCAAAAACUUUUUUUAUAGUAAUUAUUAAAACCUGGGAACUUCGUCUAUUUAAUAGUGGAGCUCCGGCGGCCCGAAGGGCCGCCAAGCCUAGCCCCAUACUCAUAUAGGAAAGAAAAGGAAAUCCA
rnacentral:misc_RNA from 1 species